GACGAACGCUGGCGGCGUGCUUAACACAUGCAAGUCGAACGGUAAGGCUCCAGCUUGCUGGGGUACACGAGUGGCGAACGGGUGAGUAACACGUGGGUGACCUGCCCUGCACUUCGGGAUAAGCCUGGGAAACUGGGUCUAAUACCGGAUAGGACCAUGGUGUGGAUAUUGUGGUGGAAAGUUUUUUCGGUGUGGGAUGGGCCCGCGGCCUAUCAGCUUGUUGGUGGGGUAAUGGCCUACCAAGGCGGCGACGGGUAGCCGGCCUGAGAGGGUGGACGGCCACAUUGGGACUGAGACACGGCCCAGACUCCUACGGGAGGCAGCAGUGGGGAAUAUUGCACAAUGGGCGGAAGCCUGAUGCAGCGACGCCGCGUGGGGGAUGACGGCCUUCGGGUUGUAAACUCCUUUCACCAUCGACGAAGGGUUUCUGACGGUAGAUGGAGAAGAAGCACCGGCUAACUACGUGCCAGCAGCCGCGGUAAUACGUAGGGUGCGAGCGUUGUCCGGAAUUACUGGGCGUAAAGAGCUCGUAGGUGGUUUGUCGCGUCGUCUGUGAAAUUCCGGGGCUUAACUCCGGGCGUGCAGGCGAUACGGGCAUAACUUGAGUACUGUAGGGGAGACUGGAAUUCCUGGUGUAGCGGUGAAAUGCGCAGAUAUCAGGAGGAACACCGGUGGCGAAGGCGGGUCUCUGGGCAGUAACUGACGCUGAGGAGCGAAAGCAUGGGGAGCGAACAGGAUUAGAUACCCUGGUAGUCCAUGCCGUAAACGGUGGGCACUAGGUGUGGGUUUCCUUCCACGGGAUCCGUGCCGUAGCUAACGCAUUAAGCGCCCCGCCUGGGGAGUACGGCCGCAAGGCUAAAACUCAAAGGAAUUGACGGGGGCCCGCACAAGCGGCGGAGCAUGUGGAUUAAUUCGAUGCAACGCGAAGAACCUUACCUGGGCUUGACAUAUACAGGAUCGCGCCAGAGAUGGUGUUUCCCUUGUGGCUUGUAUACAGGUGGUGCAUGGUUGUCGUCAGCUCGUGUCGUGAGAUGUUGGGUUAAGUCCCGCAACGAGCGCAACCCUUGUCUUAUGUUGCCAGCACGUUGUGGUGGGGGCUCGUAAGAAACUGCCGGGGUUAACUCGGAGGAAGGUGGGGAUGACGUCAAAUCAUCAUGCCCCUUAUGUCCAGGGCUUCACACAUGCUACAAUGGUCGGUACAGUGGGUUGCCAGUCCGUGAGGGCGAGCUAAUCCCGCAAAGCCGGUCUCAGUUCGGAUCGGGGUCUGCAACUCGACCCCGUGAAGUCGGAGUCGCUAGUAAUCGCAGAUCAGCAACGCUGCGGUGAAUACGUUCCCGGGCCU
rnacentral:rRNA from 1 species